GAAUAUUGGACAAUGGGCGAAAGCCUGAUCCAGCCAUGCCGCGUGUGUGAAGACGGUCUUCGGAUUGUAAAGCACUUUAAGUUGGGAGGAAGGUCAGUAAGCGAAUACCUUGCUGUUUUGACGUUACCGACAGAAUCAGCACCGGCUAACUCUGUGCCCGCCGCCGCGGUAAUACAGAGGGUGACAGCGUUAAUCGGAAUUACUGGGCGUAAAGGGCGCGUAGGUUGUUCGUUAAGUUGGAUGUGAAAGCCCCGGGCUCAACCUGGGAACUGCAUCCAAAACUGGCGAGCUAGAGUAGGGCAGAGGGUGGUGGAAUUUCCUGUGUAGCGGUGAAAUGCGUAGAUAUAGGAAGGAACACCAGUGGCGAAGGCGACCACCUGGGCUCAUACUGACACUGAGGUGCGAAAGCGUGGGGAGCAAACAG
rnacentral:rRNA from 1 species